rnacentral:rRNA from 1 species
UGGCAGGUACAGAGGGAUGCUACCGGGCGACCGGAUGCGGAUCUCGAAAGCCUGUCCCAGUUCGGACUGGAGUCUGCAACCCGACUCCACGAAGUUGGAUUCGCUAGUAAUCGCGCAUCAGCCAUGGCGCGGUGAAUACGUUCCCGGGGCCUUGUACACACCGCCCGUCAAGCCAUGGGAGCCGGGGGCGCCUGAAGUCCGGGACCGCGAGGACCGGCCUAGGGCGAAACUGGUAACUGGGGCUAAGUCGUAACAAGGUAGC